CAAUGACAGGAACGCAAAUUGCACCAGCAAAUCUAACAUCAGUCCAACUUCCAUUUAUGGCCAACAGAAGGCAUCCAGUAAUGCGAAAGAAAAAAGCAACAGCAGCUUUGCCACCACCAGCAAAUAUAAUAGCGGAAGCACUUAUAAAAGCACCAGCCACAGUACUAUUUGCACUAAAAGGGAGGGAAACAUCUUAGACCACACCAGCAAAAGCAACACUGACACUAGUGUCAUUUGUAGUAGCAGCAGCAACAUACAAGCUGAAGAAUUUAUACCACCCCUUACCCAUAGCCUGGUCCCACAGCCUGGAAAUAUCAUGGAUCCAUCCCUUGGAAAGGGCCAGGUAUUACCUGAACAACCAGUGACUUUGAAGCAAAGCUUUAUCCAUAACUCAUUCCUAGAACAAAAGCAGUUUCUUGCACCCCAAGGUCAACCAUACCACAUACGUUCUUUGACAGACUCCCAGUCUGCUGUGGGGGGAUCAUUUAGUAACAUGCCCCAGAGCUCCCUUCAGUCUAGCCCUUCAUCAAGUUCAUGUCUUCAGGUGGAAACGAGUCAACACUCCUCUCCAUCCCUUUCUGCUCCUCAGGAGCAACAUUCUCCAAAAACCCUGCUGGGAGCACCUCAGGUCCAGUCCACAGACUUUACUGCUGUCCACUACAAGGAACAUGACCCCAAGCACUUACCUGCCUUAGACAAAGACUGUAAGCAAUCACAUUUUGAUAGAGAAAGAUUGCACAGAAACAUAGCGCAAAAAGAAAACGAAGGAAGGAUUUCUGAACAGCACAGCGGAAUUACAAAUACGUUUUACAAGGCUGACAAAAACGAGCAUAGCAACCAAUUUAACACACUACAUACCUUCACAAAAGAUAACACUAACCAGGCUAAACAAGGCAUGCCACUUUUACGACAAUACAUACAGGAAGUGGACCAAUGGGAAAGCAACAGUGACUAUCAUGAAGAGCCAAAUGUGAGCCCUAUGAAGAUAAACGUAAUAGCGUUGAACAAAGAAGAGAGUUUGUACAAGACCAACAGCAAGCAGCUAAUCAGCAAGCCGUUGGAGAACUUGAUCAAUGAUGGUGGUCCUAGCCAUAAAAAUCAGUCUUUAGAAUGGCACGAAAGCUACCGGCAUGUACCGGUGGAGGAUGAGGAGCGUAUAUCUGAUAUAAGUAACACUGAACCACAUCAACCAGAUAACCUUGUUGGGCUUGAAACAGAGCAAGUUAAAUGCGAUCUACACCCAGAGCGGAAAAUUAUUUUUCAGAGUCUAGACUCUGAAACUCCUAUGCUGCCGAUAAAGAAAAAAUCAAAGGAGGCUACGAUGGAUUUAGACAAACCAACUACAGGAGAACAAGACUACUG
ensembl:lncRNA